AACUAAAUUUUAGAGAUCCGAUCGUAUUAUACAAUAGAUGAUAUGGCUUACUUGGAUGAAAUAAAACCUGCUUUAGUUUUGCCUGCGUUUCUUAUGGUAAUUGGAUUCAUUGGUAAUCUUCACGUGCUCUUCGUAUACACUUUUCGGCUUAAACCUUCCAACCACGGGAUCUAUAUUCUUUUUCUUAGUGUUCAGGAUACCGUUGCUUGUGUACUUCUUAUCCCCACAGAGAUCUACAUUUACUCCAAUUUAUGGACAUAUGGGAAUGAAUUUACAUGCAGAAUCCAUCAAUUUGUUUCAUCUUUAAUUCAUUCUGCAACUGCUUACACACUACUUUUAAUUGCUACAGACAGGUAUCGAAAAACAUGUUGUUCGCUUGGAUGGCAAAUAAAAAGAAGAAUCGCUAAAUUGUUGUGCAUUAUUGUUCUGAUUUCCGCCUGUUUUUGUUCAUUGCCGUUUUUAGUUCUAGGAGAACCCAAAACGAUAGAAUUAAACAAUAUUACUAUCACAAGGUGCGGCAGCGUUGAUAGAUCUAUGAAAUAUCAUCAAUAUUAUCUUAUUGCAACUGAUACUUUAUGUCUUUGAUCAUUAGGCAUCCUUAUUUGUCUUUAUGUGUUGAUUUUUAAAUCAGCAGCGAACUCACCUUAGAGUCGACAUAAAAGACACUGAGAAAAAUACACAAGGUAUAAACAAAUCUUCCGAAGCACACGAAGAGUAUGCAUCUAGAGAAAUUAUAACACCACCUCGAGAAGGUAUUAUGCAGCCAUCCGACUACCGAAAACCGCAAGACAAUAUCAAUUUCGAUUCAAAUGCAAAGGAACAACAAUCGACCGACUGUAAUGCCAGACAAACGUGUACAGAAAACUGUAAUGUCAAUUCAAAAAAAUCAAGCAGGGCAAAGAAAAUGAUAACUGUUUUCAUCUUGAUAACUGUUCUGUAUUUCAUUAGCUAUAUUCCAUUUUUGGCUGUACACACUCUUCGUUCUCAUGGUCUGUUAAGUUCGUCUUUGACAACUAGAAUUGUAAUCAUUAUAGUUACCUUUUGUGUUUUUAUCAACAGCGUGGCAAAUUGUUUCAUAUACAGUUGUUUCGAUACUCGUUUCAGAAAUGAGAUAGGCCUUAUGUAUAGAACGCUAUGGUAAAUGUUCAAACGCUGAGGCAGCCAUACUGGCAGUGUCGAGUAUGUUAAGUGUAACUUGUAGCAUAUGGUUUGUAAUAUUUUGUUAAGAUCAAAUGCAGUUACAGAAAGAAGGAAAAGUAGAAGAAUCUAUCAAAAACUUCAUGGUCAAUUGUAUAAGAUUGAGUACAAUAAGUGGAAAAGUCAAAACUACGAUCUUGUAAACCGGAAGCAGCUACCACUAACAUAAAAAUUAUAUAUAAGGGCAAGAAAUGGUAGUGCAACAGGAUAUACUUACAUACUGAUAAUUUCAAGUGUAUUAUCAAGACAUUUGUUACAACAGCGGACAAGUGUAUAGGUCUACUUAAAAGAUUAUAAGUAGAAUUCCAUGAAACUAUCGAAUGCAACGGAAACAGAUAAACAUGUCAAAUACAACGGAAACGUAUGUGUUGGAAUGAUCAAUUCGAUAAUCAGAUGUAAGCAUUUGCAAGAGUGUUGACACAGCGAUGAUUAAAGGUUCAUAAUGCCCUUGUUGAUAAUGUGGCUGUCACAAUUUUUGUUUUGUUAUGAACAGGUUAUAUAUCAAUAACUUGUUAAAUCUUAUAUUUGAUUAUUGUUUUCUCCAGUAUAUGUCAAAGGUUUGAAUAUUGACUGACAUGGUAGAAAGUUUUAUUGAACCCAUUGUUUUUGAUUAUUUCCCUUUGUGGCUCAUAUGCAAUUUGUUUAUAUGCAGUAAUGAAAGUAGUGCUUUUUUCACCACAUAAUUAUACAUAGCAUCUAUGUAGACGCAUCGGUUCAUCAGUUUUUAACAUAAAAAUUAAAACCAUAUCGAACUUUAAAGGUGAAAAGAAAAGCAAAGAAUAUAGAAUUCGAAUAUAAAAUUUUCUCAUGUGCGUGGUUUUCUGCAACGCACGAUAUGCCACGUCAUAAGUAUUUCAUAAUACCGGAAGAAAUCUACCCUCUGACCCGUAUCAACAACUGGUUUCUGCCUUUGAUAACGUCACAUCCGUAACAUGACUGUUGGCGAAUAAUAUUAUUUGAGAUGUUAUAAAAGUCUGCCUCAAAACAUCUACACCACGAAUUUCCUUGUUGAAUUUUAUGAUAAACUCUCCGAGAAUUUAACUGUUACAAAGGAUAGAUAUAUUAUAUUUGUGAAUAAAUAGAGGUCGAAUAACUUUGUACAUAACUCAGCGAAAUACAUGAUAUAUUUUUACAUUAACGUAAAAAUUAAUUGAGGCAAUUACUGAUACUGGUUGACGGAAAAUACUACUUUCUCCGUUACUGUGCAUGCAGAGGAUAAUGCAGCAAUUGACGUAAUCCUCAGCAAUUGACGUAAUCCUCAGUAAUUGUCGUAAUCCUCAGUAAUUUACGUAUUAUACUUAAUAUAUUGUAAAUGUUUCUGUUUCUGUAUAAAGUGGUAUAAUGUAACAUUAUCUCUUGUUUGAUAUAUAAUUUUUAUUUGCAGCCUGUUUUAUAUUUAUAUACAGAAUGUAUUAACAAUGUAAUAUCUUAGUGUCUGCAUUUUUCGAGCACGAUUUGUUUCAAACAAAUACAAUUAUGUAUGUAUUUGUGAUAUAUGAAAAACACUGAAGCCAGAAGCGUACAAAUACAAAAUGUAUAAAUACAGUAUAACAAACGUAUUCAUAUGAUCACCAAAUUUGUGUCAUUUAAGUCAUUAUCAUAUAGAAAUAGCAGUAUGAAAAAUAUUGUUCUUGUAUUUCGAUUUCGACAAGAUCAUGUUAAUAUUUGUAUGUUAUGUAGAUUUUACCCUAUGUGUUCUCUUGUCAACUUUCGUUUUGAACAAGAUACACUCACAAAGGAAAUUGCAAAACGUUAUUAAAAGUCAUUGUGGGUUUUAUGUAUAUGUGUGUCGGUAUAUACAUGAAUAUAUAUCAAAGGUGUAUAUUUCUAUCUAAUAUAUAUCCUAACAAUGUCAUUCAGAAUGGGAUAUGAUCAUUUAUCAUUGCACCUUUCCAAAAAUGUUGACAUUUUCCUUAACUGGAUACCAUUUUAAAUGUUAUACUGCCAUUCUCUUGUAAAGUGUCACUUUGUCAGUAGAUAUACUUGAAGAUAAAAUUUUAUUUGAAUCAUUUUAUAUUUUAGCAUGUUUAAUAUAUGUUGAUUGUUAUCAUUCUGUAAAUAUUGUUAAGAAUAAUAUAAUAUAUUGUAAAUAUGUUCAGCUCUUCAUGUACAUAUAAGGAAAUAAAGUAUCUACACGCAU
rnacentral:lncRNA from 1 species